AUAACAACUCUUCGCGCAAGCGAAGUUUUAAACCCACCGUGAACCAAAAACCUCUAUAGCUUCGGUAGCGUUGCUGCUGGUCAACGCCAGCUUCAUGUCAGCCUGCCGGUAGCGCAAUAUCAAACUCUUGUUUUAAAAAAAUCCAGUCUGAACUAAAAUUUUCGAAUGAAAAUCAAAACUUUCAACAACGGAUCUCUUGGUUCU
rnacentral:misc_RNA from 1 species